ACACGUAGGGGGCAAGCGUUAUCCGGAUUCAUUGGGCGUAAAGCGCGCGUAGGCGGCCCGCCAAGCAGGACCUCUAACCUCAGGGCCUAACCCUGAGCCGGGUCCUGGACUGGCGAGCUCGAGUUCGGUAGAGGAAGGCGGAAUUCCCGGUGUAGCGGUGAAAUGCGCAGAUAUCGGGAAGAACACCGAUGGCGAAGGCAGCCUUCUGGGCCGCGACUGACGCUGAGGCGCGAAAGCUGGGGGAGCAAACAGGAUUAGAUACCCUGGUAGUCCCAGCCGUAAACGAUGGACGCUAGGUGUGGGGGGGUUCUCCCUCCGUGCCGAAGCCAACGCAUUAAGCGUCCCGCCUGGGGAGUACGGCCGCAAGGCUAAA
rnacentral:rRNA from 1 species